AUCUAGCUAAGGAAUCCCAAAUAGGACGAAACGCGCGUCCUGAAU
rnacentral:hammerhead_ribozyme from 1 species